rnacentral:lncRNA from 1 species
UUGGACCGUUGUUCAUAAGGGCGCUAAUAGAAGGACGGCCAGUAAGCUGAGUAAUGGGAGGUGGAAGAGCAGAAUGGAUUUUAAUUGCAACUGUUUUACGCCGCUUCUAUGGCGGCGGCUGAGUCGACUGUUCAAAGUCUAUCGGCCAUUUAUCGGAUUGCGGGGCCGAUGAAGUUGAAGUAGGAAUCGACUGAAACAAGACGUAUUA